UACGGAGGGGGCUAGCGUUGUUCGGAAUUACUGGGCGUAAAGCGCACGUAGGCGGCUUUGUAAGUUAGAGGUGAAAGCCCAGGGCUUAACCCUGGAAUUGCCUUUAAGACUGCAUCGCUAGAAUCGUGGAGAGGUGAGUGGAAUUCCGAGUGUAGAGGUGAAAUUCGUAGAUAUUAGGAGGAACACCGGUGGCGAAGGCGGCGAUCUGGCCCAAUACUGACACUCAUACACGAAAGCGUGGGGAUCAAACAGG
rnacentral:rRNA from 1 species